rnacentral:lncRNA from 1 species
AGAAGUUAUUCCUCAAAGCAGAGUUGUCAUACCUGAGGUUUGGUUAAGUCUUCCCCCAGUGAAGUGCUAUAUCAUUCUCCAAUAAGGUGAUCUUGUUACUCCAGAGAGUACUUUUCCCGAAGAGUUGCUUGGUGUUAUCUUCCCCAGCGGAGUAUUGAUUGCUUCCCAAGCGGAGUCCCCGAGUGGAUUGGAUCCUGUGAAGGAUAUCCCCAGCGAAGUC